rnacentral:rRNA from 1 species
GACUUGUGUGCGCCGGAUGCGGCGAUCUGCGGCCAAAAGGUCGUUGCGAUCAGCCCGUCCUGGCGCCGUAAAAUUUGCAACUGAGUCGCCUCUGGUCUUAAUUGGUCGGUGGCGUCUGCUCGGUUGCUCGUUUACUGUGAGAAAAUUGGAGUGUUCAAGGCAGGCAUGAUUGCAAUUGAACAUGUUAGCAUGGAAUAAUGAGAUAGGGCUCGCGCUUUAUUUUGUUGGUUUCUAGAGUGGGAGUAAUGAUUGAUAGGGACAGUUGGGGGUGCUAGUAUUCAGCGGCCAGAGGUGAAAUUCAUGGAUUCGCUGAAGACUAACUUAUGCGAAAGCAUU